rfam:Aeropyrum pernix K1 DNA, complete genome.
GGGCCCGUAGCUCAGCCAGGAUAGAGCGCCGGCCUCCGGAGCCGGAGGUCCCGGGUUCAAAUCCCGGCGGGCCCG